rnacentral:rRNA from 1 species
UACGUAAGGCGCAAGCGUUGUCCGGAAUCAUUGGGCGUAAAGCGCGUGUAGGCGGUCGGUAAGUCCGCUGUGAAGUCGAGGGGCUCAACCCUCGGAAUGCCGGUGGAUACUGGUCGGGCUUGAGUACGGGAGAGGCGAGUGGAAUUCCUGGUGUAGCGGUGAAAUGCGCAGAUAUCAGGAGGAACACCGGCGGCGAAGGCGGUGCUCUGGGCCAGUAUUGACGCUGAGGAGCGAAAGCGUGGGUAGCAAACAGG